UACGGAGGGAGCUAGCGUUGUUCGGAAUUACUGGGCGUAAAGCGCGCGUAGGCGGCUUUGUAAGUUAGAGGUGAAAGCCCGGGGCUCAACCCCCGGAACUGCCUUUAAAAACUGCAUCGCUUGAAUCCGGGAGAGGUGAGUGGAAUUCCGAGUGUAGAGGUGAAAUUCGUAGAUAUUCGGAAGAACACCAGUGGCGAAGGCGGCUCACUGGACCGGCAUUGACGCUGAGGUGCGAAAGCGUGGGGAGCAAACAGG
rnacentral:rRNA from 1 species